UACGAAGGGGGCUAGCGUUGUUCGGAAUUACUGGGCGUAAAGCGCACGUAGGCGGGCGAUUAAGUCAGGGGCGAAAUCCCGGAGCUCAACUCCGGAACUGCCUUUGAUACUGGUCGUCUAGAGAUCGGAAGAGGUGAGUGGAAUUCCCAGUGUAGAGGUGAAAUUCGUAGAUAUUGGGAAGAACACCGGUGGCGAAGGCGGCUCACUGGUCCGAUACUGACGCUGAGGUGCGAAAGCGUGGGGAGCAAACAGG
rnacentral:rRNA from 1 species